AUGAAACCCAAUCAAGGAAUGGAAAUUGGAGCAAAUUUUGUCUCCUAUCAAGGUACUAACUUUGUUUCCAUCAAGAAUAUGAGGAGGAUUACUAUGACAGUGUGGAUGACUAUGCUUACAAAGAAGAUGAAGAGAUUAUUUGUUACAACCCUCUACUCAGCUUUCACUGUGAAACUCUACUAA